UACGAAGGGGGCUAGCGUUGCUCGGAAUUACUGGGCGUAAAGGGCGCGUAGGCGGAUACUUAAGUUAGAGGUGAAAGCCCAGGGCUCAACCCUGGAAUAGCCUUUAAUACUGGGUAUCUUGAGUUCGGGAGAGGUGAGUGGAACUCCGAGUGUAGAGGUGAAAUGCAUAGAUAUGUCACAGAACACCGAUUGCGAAGGCGGCCAACUGGUCCGAAACUGACGCUGAGGCGCGAAAGCGUGGGGAGCAAACAGG
rnacentral:rRNA from 1 species